CGCACCUUGCGCCCUUUGGUAUUCCGAAGGGCACACCUGUUUGAGUGUCGUGAAAUUCUCAACCCUCUUCAUCUUUUAUUGGGUGAAGGCCAGGGCUUGGACUUGGAGGCUUUGCCGGCCGUAAAAGGGCCGGCUCCUCUCAAAUGCAUUAGUAUGUCUCGUCGCGAUGCGUGCCUCGGUGUGAUAAUUAUCUACGCUGUGCGUGUGCUUGCUUCUUGUGGGGACGUGCUUACAACAUGGCCCGUGAGGACGGACACCUCGAAACUUGACCUCAAAUCAGGUGGGACUACCCGCUGAACUUAA
rnacentral:misc_RNA from 1 species